rfam:Capsicum annuum cultivar Zunla-1 chromosome 9, whole genome shotgun sequence
AGUUGAUGAUGUGGACAGUCUUAAAGAAGAGCUUUAAACCUCUACUAUGCAUAAUAUAAGUUCUCAUCUGGUUUUUAUUUAAAGCACGUAAUCUCAUAGUCAAGACU